rnacentral:misc_RNA from 1 species
CGAUGAAGAACGCAGCGAAAUGCGAUACGCAAUGCGAAUUGCAGAACCGUGAGUCAUCAGAUUUUUGAACGCAAGUGGCGAUGGUUUCGGCCAUCAUGUUUGUUUCAGUGUGCUCGGUUAAUUACAUCAUAGAAUUUAAUGUGACUGAAGCAAUUCUUUCACUUAAUAUGAAGUAAUGUCAGCUACUGUACAUUAAAUGAGAAUGUCACUAACAUGGUGAUAAUCAUUU